UAGGGAAUCUUCGGCAAUGGACGAAAGUCUGAUCGAGCAACGCCGCGUGAGUGAAGAAGGUUUUCGGAUCGUAAAACUCUGUUGUUAGAGAAGAACAAGGACGUUAGUAACUGAACGUCCCCUGACGGUAUCUAACCAGAAAGCCACGGCUAACUACGUGCCAGCAGCCGCGGUAAUACGUAGGUGGCAAGCGUUGUCCGGAUUUAUUGGGCGUAAAGCGAGCGCAGGCGGUUUCUUAAGUCUGAUGUGAAAGCCCCCGGCUCAACCGGGGAGGGUCAUUGGAAACUGGGAGACUUGAGUGCAGAAGAGGGGAGUGGAAUUCCAGGUGUAGCGGUGAAAUGCGUAGAUAUAUGGAGGAACACCAGUGGCGAAGGCGGCUCUCUGGUCUGUAACUGACGCUGAGGCUCGGAAGCGUGGGGAGCAAACAGG
rnacentral:rRNA from 1 species